AGCCUGAUGCAGGUACUGUUUAUUGUCCCCUCCACGUCUUGACCCUCUUGGCAACAUAAAACAGUCAUUAGUAAGUCUUACAUGCACCUUCCAGUCAUGAAAAGCUACUUCUUAAGGUUAAAGCCACUCUUUUGUGUAUAUUUUUGUAGCCUGGAUAGCCCAACCUAAAUAAUGUUAGCUUCCACCCAAGGCCUUGGGAUGCCUUCAGUGGUCCUUCAAGCACAGUCUCCUUUUCAUUUGUAGAAGAGCCCUUCCACAAAAGGCAGGGCUAGACUGUAGUUCCAGCUAAUAUGUGCAUCUCAGCUGCAUGUGCCUCAUCUCCCUGUAUCUACAUGAGUGACUUUUGCAUGGCUAAAAAGUCUUUUUUGAUGCAGCUUUUCCUGUCUUGUUUGCUUAUAGAGAAACCAUGAUCAGGAAGGUAGUUUAUACCAGAGUGGAGUUAGUGCCAUUUUCCAAACACUGAAAACUCCACCAAACAUUUGGUAGUAUAAAGAAACUGUGCACUUCCUUGUGGAAAAGUAAAGCCCUUUCAUUCUUGGCUUCUUUUCGGACUUCCAAAUGUAACUCCCUUCAUAGUUGCCUUGGUGAUUUUUUUGCUCAUCUGUCAUUGCAGGUGGUCCCUAUUCUUCACCUGUUUCCUCUUCCUCCAUUAUUUACUGAGUGACUUGACCUGUGAUAAUAUAAACACAAGAAGGGCUCCAGAAGUCAUGGAUAACUAUUGGCUGAUGGUGAUAAAAAGCUUUCCUAUAAGAAAUUCCACUUUGGUGAGUAUAUUUACAGGCAGAUAAUGAGGCAGCAGAGUGAAUUUUGAUCACAAAAAUUCCUAUGCCUUUGGUGGAGUUGAUUUCAAAGUUUUCCACAUCAAUAUAAUAUACAUUCAAUGUUUCCUAUGUCUGUGAAGAAAGCCCUCCACUUCCCAGCUAGUUCUCUCCCACAAGAGCAAAUGCUAAAGUAGCAUUUCACUCUUUAUUCACAACGACUGCCCAGUGCCCUUCAACCCCUGCCAUAAAACUUGGCAGUUACAUUCAGCACAUUUCUCUUACACAUUUUGCUGGAAAGCCUUCCCCAGUUUGGCUUUGCUUCCUCGCCCCUCUGCUUUGUUAUUGAAUAUGAAGAAGUAUUCAUUAUGCAGAUUUUCAAACUGUAAUCUGGCCCUACAUUCAUCAUCUGUGCUGCCUCUAUUUCACAAUAAUGUCACAUGAACACUGUUUAGCAUAUUUACCUGGUUUUUAAGUUUUUAAAUGUUGGUGGGUUUUAGGAGCAAUGGGAUUGACAAAGUGUGAUGCUUCAGGAUUUCUCUACCCAAAUGCUCUUUUCUUCUAGGCCAAGGAUUUGGAAUAUUUUGCUCCUCAAAAUGUUUCAGUAAGUUGCCUAUGAAUGUCCCUGAAUAGUCUCUUUCUUGCUGCCAUAAUCAAUUUCAACUAUCUUUAUCUAUAAUUCAUCUGCUCCUUCAUCUUACAAUGCAUUCAACACUGCUUCUACGUCCACCUGUGGGAAGGUCAUUUCUUUGGUCCACAAAACACCCCUUUCUUAAUAGUAUUGUUUAUUGGCAUACAUCAAUUUGUCUGAAAUUGACUCACGUGUUGGGGACUGGGCUAAAUUCUCACUUUGUUCUUUCCAGUGCAUGAAAACCCAAUCCAAAGUAGGAUCUUUCUGUUUUGAGGCGCAAAAAACAUGGAACACACUGAGUAAAAAAGUAAGGUUUAACACAAAUAUACUGCACCAGGAUUAGCAUGUCAGGGUGCUAGUCAGAGCCUCUGACUAAUAGUAUGACCUUAGUUAAUCACUCUGCCUCUUUUCUGAGCCCAGCGUUCUCCCAUGUAAAAUAAGGAUAUUGGACUAUGUAGUUUCAAAUGGUUAUUCUCACUCCAGUUGUCUAAGUUUCGAAGCAUUGUGAUUGCUGACAUGGCAAAAAAAUAGUUAUAAAUCAAAAGCACCUUUGAAGAAUAAUAAAAUUCUUUCAUAUGCUCACAGCUUUUCUAUCAUAUAGAGUACAUUAUCAUGUGACUCAAGUUGUCUCAUAAGUAUAGAAAAGCAGUGCUGUCUAACACAUCAAAAAAACCCAGCUCUAACAUGUUUCAAUCUCUUAUCUCAACACUUUUUGCCUAUUCUUUUUUCACAUGUAGUUUUCUACAUUGGUGUCUUAUGAUCUUGUAUAAGAAAAAUAUCAGAUUAUCUGAUUUAGGCCAAAGGGAUGGGAGGAGGAGAGAAAGUCUUAAUAGAGUUAUUCUUUCAACAAUUAAAUUAUUUAGGAUAUCCUAGUUUUUACCAAAGUCCUACAGGUUAGAGCCCCAUUUUUUUCAAGCAGUAAUUUUAUAAAGACUUACCAUAUAUUAUUGGUUAUUUUAUUAAAUGCUCCAAAGUUAUGAGUUAUGCUAUGAAAAUUUCUAGCAUGCAUGGUAUUACCUAUGAGGACAUUUUCAAAAAUCUCAAAAGUUUUCAUCAGAUAGAGUCAGUUAUAAAUUCAGCUGGGAAUAAUCAGAAGAGAAGGAAACCAUAAGCUUGGAAGAGAAAAAGACAGGAGUAAGAAAAAGUUCCAACUCCCUCCCCCAUGACCCUCCAAAAAACUACUUUAAGGAAUCAUGCAAACAGUGAAGGAAGAUGAGAUGACUACAUUAGGACCUUAGACUUUUACUCCUGCUUCUCUAAAGAAGUGGAUUAUAUGUCCAGAAACAUGAUGGGACACAAAAAGCAAAACCAUAAAACCAAAACCAUCACUAACAUCUGGAUAAAGGACUAGACUUGGAAAAAUGUCCCUCAAUACCUAUGACAUGUACAACAAACCAGGACAGGUCUGCAGGUUUACAGUUCAAACUUAAAGAGAGAGAGCAUCCAAAGGAUUUCUGGUGAGCAGGUCAGUGAAUUGAAAACAAGCAGAGUUGCCAUAUAAAUGGGAAAAUGUAUAAAAUGUUAUUGGAAAUCUUCCUAGUUUUCUGGAUAUUUGAUUUCAUUUUAAUAAUAAAAAAAUUGAUAGAUUCCCUUUCAACUCCAGUGGCUAUGAUAAUUCAUUUUUCAUAUAAGAAUUUAAAUGUAUGUUUGGAAAUGGAAUUUUUUUUUUGUCUUUUUGCCUUUUUUGGGGCCGCUCCUGCAGCGUAUGGAGAUUCCCAGGCUAGGGAUCUAGUUAGAGCUGUAGCUGCCAGCCUACACCAAAGCCAUGACAACACGGGAUCCAAGCCAUGUCUGUGACCUACACCACAGCUCACAGAAACGUCGGAUCCUUAACCCACUAAGCAAGGCCAGGGAUGGAACCCGCAACCUCGUGGUUCCUGGUCAGAUUCAUUAAGCACUGAGCCAUGACGGGAACUCUGGGAGUGGAAAUAUUUUGUAUCUAAACUGACAAUAAUAUAUGUGUGUUUUUCUUUUGUUGUCUGUUUUGUUUGUUGUGGCUAUUUUGGGGAGAAAGGUAUAUCACUUGAUCCAUUGGAAAAUCCAAAAAAAAAAAAAAAAUGGGGUUAUAUUUUCCUUAUUCUCAGUUAAAGAAACCUACAACCAUAAAGGUUAAACAACUUCUCUGUGACUUAUCACAAAGCCAAGAAGUGGCAGAGAUGGGACCAAUAUCCAAAUCCCCAGCUUCUCAAACCUUUGCUAGGGACCUAUGUCCCUUCCAUCAACAUUCUAAAAUUUAAAAAAUAUAAUAAUUUCUCCACUUCAAAUUCAGAAUAACCAAAACAGCUUUGCCCCGUAAUGUUUCUAUGGAACGUCUUUACAAUGUCUUUUCAAAUCACCUGCAAGCUGUGCUAUGAUGACAACUACACUGUCCUCUUACUUUAAAUAUUUGAACCUAAAUCACAGCUACUCUACUAAGUCCCGUGAGCUCUUGGACAAGUCAUUUAAGAUCUUUAAGUUUUAGUUUAUGUAUAAAUGGCAAUCAAAAUAUCAUCCCUCUGAGAUUAGGGGGAUUAAAUUAAAUAAUCCAUUCAAAAAGCACCUUGUAAACUAUAGAUUAUCACCAAUAAUUUACCACAUAUGCUAAAGUAAUUCUUUUCUGCUUAUGAAAUAACAUUGAUAAUCUUAUACAAGGCAUUCAAAGUCCUCUUUGACAUUCAUUUUUAAUCUUUUUUCUGCUAAUAAUAAAACCUUACAUAUAUCAAGAAAAUAGUCUGUGCCAGAGAUAACCUGAACAUUUAUUAUCUCAUGUAAACCUCAUAGCAAGCUUGUAAUAAAGACAUCACUAUUAUCCCAAUUUUAUAGCUGUUUAUUGAUGUUUGGAAGGUAGAGAAACUCUCCCAACAUCCACACAGAGAAGAAGGAUGAGAGUCAAAUCCUGGAUGAUUCCACAGUAAAUUUCACCAUCAUGUGGUACUGUUUCUAAAUACAGCAGAAAUCACACUCAACUCUGUAACAAUCACCUUACUACACUAUGAAAAAGCUUGGUAUAGAAACUCACAGGGAUGCUCAACAAUUACAGGUGAAUGUAUAAUCUGGGUAGAGAGUGAUCAAGAGUAAAGUGUCCUGAAUUCAAACCAGAUCCACCCUAGACUAGCAUAAUGACUAAAAAAGUUCUUUAUCCUGUAAAUGGGACAAACAAACAAAUAAAAUGGACCUCAGAGUAUUGCUAUGAGAAGUAAAUGAGUAAAUACACAUUCAUCUCUCAACAUGUCUGGCAUAGAGGUAAUACUAUACAAAUGUUAUCAUUUGUUACCACAUACAAUGUCAUGAACACCACAGCUCUGUAUGGUCUUGUACUUCACACCACAAAAUUACCUGACUUUCUGCCUCAUUCACUAGUUGAUUGGCUUAAUUGUUCAGACCUCGGCCAAAAUGUUGCUUUGGUAAUGAAUCUAUCUUUUAUGUGCCUGCCAUGUUCCCAUUCUUUUGCACCCACUCAAUCAAGCUCUCUUAUUAUACUCAUAGUCCAUUCCUUAAAACAUUUAUCAUACUUGUAGUUAAAUAAUGAAUUGGACUAUUAGUCUUAAAAUUUCUGGCCUCUCACUAGAAAGUGCCAUGAGGGCAGAGGCUAUUGUCCAUUGCUGUAUCUUGCACAGUAAAGUGCUUUAUAAAAACCUAAUGAAUGAAGGAAUAACUUCAUCUUCCUUUUGUUUUAUCCCUCUAAUUUACAUAGUGUCUCAUGGUUUGAAAAUCCAUUUUGUCUUUUUCUCCAUGAAUUGUUCUGUUUGUAUCAUGAAUUUUCAAACUUCCUGGCCAACCCUAAUUGACUAAAAAUAUUUAUAGGAAUUUCCUGUCAUUAUAUCUGUGCCAAUGACAACUAAAUUGCCAGUUUCUUCCUCCUUAAAUAUUAGAUUUCUGAAAUACAAGUAGAUUAACUCAGCUAAGAAAACAAGAAAUAGAAAUCUUUUCAUGUUUUGCGCACUGCUUUUAAACUGCAUUUAGAAUGUGUUUCUGGAAAUAUGCAUAAUCAUUCAUGAAUCUCCUUUCAUUUGAAUACCACAGUAAUGACAACUUAAGAUAUAUUGUUUGCUGUUUAUUCAAAAUAGAUUCCAGUUAUCAAAGUAGAUCUUUCUGUGUACACCCUGUUCCAUAUUUGCUAUGGACUCAAUUAGUAAUGAUCAUGCAUGCUGAUGCUGUUUUGGAAUUAUGACUUGAAAUGUACCACAGUAACUUCUAUAAUGGUAAGGAGUAGUGCUUUCUUUCUUUUUAAAUCCAGUUAAAUUAUAUAGGAAGAAUUUGUAAAACUUGAAAUCUCAAGCAUAUACCACACUCGAUUUAUCAAAUGUUUAUGCCACAUGUAGCUUAAUACAUCAAGACUUCAAAACACUGUGGAAAUAAGGUGGUCUGAGUACCAAUUCUAAUCAAAGGUGAACUCUAAAUUUCUCAGGAAAAACCUCUCUUCCUAUAAGCUGAUAACACACAGAAGUUAUCCCUUAAUUGUGCUCUGAUAUAUAAAAAUAUUUUUAAAUUUUAUCUUGUAGUGAAUAAGUUUGAUUAUAUUCAUCAUUUAAUUCUACCAUAUUAGUGAUGCCAUUGACAGAAGCAAACUCUCCUUUUAGGGUAUUAUGAAAUUAUAAACUCUCAGAAAAAAGCAGUUUCAGAUCUACCCCUUACCAGAAGGAUAAAUCCAAAUGUAUAUAUAACUUCCUAUAUCCUUUUCCAUCUGCAAAAUGGGGAAAACAAUAGUUCCUGCCUUAGAGUUUCUUUGAUGAUUCAAUUACAUAGAGCCUGUAAGAGUUUAUUUUAGAUUCUGUCACAUGGUAAACUCUCAAUACAUACUAAUCAUUAUUUUUACCAUUAUUAUUAUAUUGUUCAUGUGUGAAUAUCUGUAUCAUUCACACAAGCACCUGCCAUUUUAUUCUCUUUACAUGUAUCAGUUCAUUCUUCUCUAGACAGCAAAGACCUUGGUGUCUGGCUAGAGGCAUUGUUAUUUCUACCCUUCUAUGUCAUAUACACAGAAAAUGAUCAGUUGAUUGGAAGUUGAUGUGUUGGUUUACCUCUGUCUCACUAUAAUGAAUUCACUUGCCUUCCAGAAAUGUCAGUUGAGCACUUUUUUCUGUAUGACUCUGUGCUAGACACUGGAGAAACAGAGGUGUCCAAUGCAACAUUAUGGAUGGCUUUUCAAAAUUUAUCCAAAAACUUAGAAUUUUUAAAGCCAUAGUUAAAGUCAAACU
rnacentral:lncRNA from 1 species